rnacentral:rRNA from 1 species
CAAUAGCGUAUAUUAAAGUUGUUGCGGUUAAAAAGCUCGUAGUUGGAUUUCUGCCGAGGACGACCGGUCCGCCCUCUGGGUGAGUAUCUGGCUCGGCCUGGGCAUCUUCUUGGAGAACGUAUCUGCACUUGACUGUGUGGUGCGGUAUCCAGGACUUUUACUUUGAGGAAAUUAGAGUGUUUCAAGCAGGCAUACGCCUUGAAUACAUUAGCAUGGAAUAAUAAGAUAGGACUUUGGUUCUAUUUUGUUGGUUUCUAGAACUAAAGUAAUGAUUAAUAGGGAUAAUUGGGGGCGAUUUGUAUUAACGCGUCAGAGGUGGAAUUCUUGGAUUGCGUUACGACAAACUAACUGCGAAAGCAUUUGUCCAAGGAUGUUUCAUUGAUCAAGAACGAAAGUAUGGGA